rnacentral:rRNA from 1 species
UACGUAGGGGGCAAGCGUUAUCCGGAAUCAUUGGGCGUAAAGCGCGUGUAGGCGGUUCCGUAAGUCCGCUCUGAAAGCCCAGGGCUCAACCCUGGGAGGCGGGUGGAUACUACGGAACUGGAGUACGGAAGAGGAGAUUGGAAUUCCUGGUGUAGCGGUGAAAUGCGCAGAUAUCAGGAGGAACACCUAUGGCGAAGGCAGCUCGCUGGGACGUUACUGACGCUGAGACGCGAAAGCGUGGGGAGCAAACAGG